AAGUCGUAACAAGGUUUCCGUAGGUGAACCUGCGGAAGGAUCAUUAACAAUGCUAUCAUAGCAAAUUCCACCUUUUGUGCAUGUGUUAACGUCAAUUGGCAGGCUUCGGUAUGGAAAAGUUUGUCCCCAGUGGCUCUUUUCCCUACCGACCUUGAUUCGGACCGGCUUGAGAAAUAGUCCGUCUGGAAAGAGGCGGCCUGCUAUUUUUUUUUAACAAACAUUAUUGUCGCAAGACAAACUUGCCUUACAAAUCUUAUUUCUUCGUGAAAUAAUAAUUGUAACCAAAUACAACUUUUAACAACGGAUCUCUUGGCUCUC
rnacentral:misc_RNA from 1 species